UCCGAGUUGACCCCGGCAGUCUCCUACGAGUCCCCGGCAUUACCCGCUGGCAACAUAGAACAAGGGUUGCGCUCGUUGCGGGACUUAACCCAACAUCUCACGACACGAGCUGACGACAGCCAUGCACCACCUGUGCAAGGCCCUUGCGGACACCGUAUCUCUACGGCUUUUCCCUGCAUGUCAAGCCCAGGUAAGGUUCUUCGCGUAGCAUCGAAUUAAGCAACACGCUCCGCUGCUUGUGCGGGCCCCCGUCAAUUCCUUUGAGUUUCAGUCUUGCGACCGUACUCCCCAGGCGGCGAACUUAACGCGUUAGCUUCGAUACUGCGUGCCAAAUUGCACCCAACAUCCAGUUCGCAUCGUUUAGGGCGUGGACUAC
rnacentral:misc_RNA from 1 species